rnacentral:rRNA from 1 species
CCUACGGGGGGCAGCAGUGGGGAAUAGUGCACAAUGGGGGAAACCCUGAUUCAGCGACGCCGCGUGAGUGAAGAAGUAUUUCGGUAUGUAAAGCUCUAUCAGCAGGGAAGAAAAUGACGGUACCUGAGUAAGAAGCCCCGGCUAACUACGUGCCAGCAGCCGCGGUAAUACGUCGGGGGCAAGCGUUAUCCGGAUUUACUGGGUGUAAAGGGAGCGUAGACGGCAGCACAAGUCUGGAGUGAAAUGCCGGGGCUUAACCCCGGAACUGCUUUGGAAACUGUGCAGCUAGAGUGCAGGAGAGGUAAGUGGACUUCCUAGUGUAGCGGUGAAAUGCGUCGAUAUUAGGAGGAACACCAGUGGCGAAGGCGGCUUACUGGACUGUAACUGACGUUGAGGCUCGAAAGCGUGGGGAGCAAACAGGAUUAGAUACCCCAGUAGUC